UACGAAGGGGGCUAGCGUUGCUCGGAAUCACUGGGCGUAAAGCGCACGUAGGCGGAUUGUUAAGUCAGGGGUGAAAUCCUAGAGCUCAACUCCAGAACUGCCUUUGAUACUGGCGAUCUCGAGUCCGGGAGAGGUGAGUGGAACUGCGAGUGUAGAGGUGAAAUUCGUAGAUAUUCGCAAGAACACCAGUGGCGAAGGCGGCUCACUGGCCCGGUACUGACGCUGAGGUGCGAAGGCUAGGGGAGCAAACGGG
rnacentral:rRNA from 1 species